UACGUAGGGCGCAGGCGUUGUCCGGAAUUAUUGGGCGUAAAGAGCUCGUAGGCGGUUUGUCGCGUCUGCCGUGAAAGUCCGGGGCUCAACUCCGGAUCUGCGGUGGGUACGGGCAGACUAGAGUGAUGUAGGGGAGACUGGAAUUCCUGGUGUAGCGGUGAAAUGCGCAGAUAUCAGGAGGAACACCGAUGGCGAAGGCAGGUCUCUGGGCAUUAACAGACGCUGAGGAGCGAAAGCAUGGGGAGCGAACAGG
rnacentral:rRNA from 1 species